rnacentral:rRNA from 1 species
AGAGUUUGAUCAUGGCUCAGAUUGAACGCUGGCGGCAUGCCUUACACAUGCAAGUCGAACGGCAGCGCGGGGGCAACCCUGGCGGCGAGUGGCGAACGGGUGAGUAAUACAUCGGAACGUAUCCCGUAGAGGGGGAUAGCUCGGCGAAAGCCGGAUUAAUACCGCAUAUGCUCUACGGAGGAAAGCAGGGGACCCGCAAGGCCUUGCGCUAUGGGAGCGGCCGAUGUCCGAUUAGCUUGUUGGUGGGGUAAAGGCUUACCAAGGCGACGAUCGGUAGCUGGUCUGAGAGGAUGAUCAGCCACACUGGGACUGAGACACGGCCCAGACUCCUACGGGAGGCAGCAGUGGGGAAUUUUGGACAAUGGGGGAAACCCUGAUCCAGCCAUGCCGCGUGAGUGAAGAAGGCCUUCGGGUUGUAAAGCUCUUUUGGCCGGAAAGAAAGGGCUCGGGUGAAUACCCCGGGUCUCUGACGGUACCGGCAGAAUAAGCACCGGCUAACUACGUGCCAGCAGCCGCGGUAAUACGUAGGGUGCGAGCGUUAAUCGGAAUUACUGGGCGUAAAGAGUGCGUAGGCGGUUCUUUGUGUCCGCUGUGAAAGCCCCGGGCUUAACCUGGGAAUGGCAGUGGAAACUAGAGGACUUGAAUCUGGCAGAGGGGGGUGGAAUGCCACGUGUAGCAGUGAAAUGCGUAGAUAUGUGGCGGAACACCGAUGGCGAAGGACCCCCUGGGCUGAGAUUGACGCUCAGGCACGAAAGCGUGGGGACAANNAGGAUUAGAUACCCNNGUAGUCC